UACGUAGGGAGCAAGCGUUGUCCGGAAUCAUUGGGCGUAAAGCGCGCGUAGGCGGCUUCGUAGGUCCGUUGUGAAAGUCCAGGGCUCAACCUGGGAACUGCAGUCGAUACUGGCGGACUAGAGUACGGUAGAGGGUGGCGGAACUCCGGGUGUAGCGGUGAAAUGCGUAGAUAUCCGGAAGAACACCGAUGGCGAAGGCAACCACCUGGGCCUGUACUGACGCUGAGGUACGAAAGCGUGGGGAGCAAACAGG
rnacentral:rRNA from 1 species